ensembl:lncRNA
AGAGCUCCGCACCCGCGGAGCCCCGGCGGGGCGGGCGGAGCCGCAGCCCCGGGACCCCCGACCCGCUCCCGAGUUCCAAAAUGACCUUUCCCUGCAUCGUUUUGGAGGUAACCGAGCUGCCUAAUUAUAUUUGCACUUCCAGAAGACUGCAUCAGAGUCCCCUUAUUGGUUUGAAAUUCCAUUAAAUAUAUUGCAAGAGCUCCUAGGUUAAGCUUGAUUUAAAUUUGCAUACAUUUUCAUAUAUUUAGCAGAAAUAAAAGAAGGCUUGCAGCUACCAGAAAGUCAUUAAGGCAUUAGUUUCUCUGAGAAGACAGAUCUGAAGAAAAUUCAAGAAAAUGAGAAAAUAGAUCUAAAUAAGGUGGAGUUGAAUACAUUGGUUAACUGCAAGCAGUAUGUUCUGAAGAUGAUGGUGUUCAGACAAAUACCCAAUUUGAUUCUGAUAAAUUGGAUGCAAGACUUUGACCAGCGUGAGAAGAACAGGCUUCAGUCUGCACGAGGGACAUUAUUAAAAAUCCUGGACGAGCCCAGGGACACUGGAGGAGCCCCACGUUGUGGCUGUGAUUGCAGUCAGGUCACUCUGGCAGCUGACUGGAAUCUCUGGAUGUGAGACAUUCCCUCACCGAUUCUGCAGGGAAAUAAUUUGCACCCUCGGUGAUGUUGUUGAUCUUGAAUGAUCUGAGGCAUUAUGGAAGCAGGCAGCAUCCCAGACCUGUGGAGAAGCUCAGCAGGAGAACAAGUGGGGGAAAAUAUUCCCAAUGUCAUGCUGCUGCUGGUGGCUCAGGCACAGGAACAGGGGCCUGUGGUGGUCCAGCUCUUUGGAAAGUUUUGUACAGAAACCAGGAGGAUCUAAGAGCUGGAGCUAAUCCGUGAGAAAACAGCACCACCAGCAACAACAAUUUGCUCUAGACCAGAAAGAAGGUGGAAGAGGUGGGACUAAGAAGGACUUUCUCUUUCAAAAGAAGAAAUGUUGCUUUCCAGGCACCUGUAUGCUGAAAUUGAUUGAAAUGCAGCUUUCAUGCGGCCUGAUAACUGUUCCUCACUGGAGGAAGAACCUUGGAUAAAUGGAAUUUGCUCUGCCUUGCUCAGUGAGGCCACCUCAGAGCGCUGGUGCUUGUGUGAAUUGAAGAAAUAUUUGGAAACUGAGGUGGUUGUUACCUUUCUGUGCCUGGGUGUUCAAAGAGUGUUUCUGGCCAACACCUAAAAUUCAGUUUCCAAGGCCGGAGGCAGCAAAAGAUUUCAAAUCUGUGCCUCCGCCGGUUUUGACACCGUGCAAUGAAGCAUCCGAGCUCUCAGAUGUCUGGCUCUUCCGAGUUGUGAAAUGAGAAAACAAACAAACCCAACCAUUCCAGCCCUGUCAAUCUCCUUCUCAGUGGACAGAUGCCCUGGUGCCAGAAAAUCUUCAUCCCAUGAUCCCACACCUCUUGGCAGUGCCAAAAAAGCAAAAAAAAAAGCCAGAGAUCUACUGGAUGCAAAAGCGUGACGGUUCCUCACCUCAAAAAAGGGGAUUUGUGGCCACACUGGAGCUCCUGGGCUAAGAAUUUGCCAAGGGCAUCAACAGCAGUUUUCCCAGGCUCCAGCACAAGGAUUAUGUAGUCAAUCCACAAAUGACUCAAAUCUUUGAAGAAAAGGGCAUGGUUAUCAGAGAGGCUUUGAGGACAGCAAGGACGGGAGCGCUAUCUGCCUUUUUCCAUCAGAGAUUCCCAUUCCCUCUCAUUAACAUCCUCAGGACAUCAGCACAGCCAGCGGCCCCAGGGAAUCGCUUCCAACUUUUAAGGGGAUGUGCACAAGGCCUCGCCCCUGCGUUGUUUCAGACAGAUCAAACCAGAUUUGCCUCGUGGAAGGGUUCUUCAAUCCCACUGAGGAUGUGAUGUGAACGCACACACACUUGGUGUGGGGAAAGGAGAUGCCUCUACCUGCUCACUCCCAGUGCCCUGUAAUGAAAAAUGCUUUUGGAGCAACACUGGAAAUAAGCCAUCAAAAUAUCUGAUUAAACCUCUUAAGAAACUCUCACUAAUCACCUUCUCUGCUCUUGAUGGAAUGUAUUUAUGCAUUAUAAAUAUACUUACUGUGUGUGUGUGUGCUCCAUAAAUCACACCCAGCACUUGUAUAUGAUGUAUAAGCACAUUCUAUAGAACACACACAAAUACAGAUGCCAGGCUCCCACAGAGUUCAUCACUGGAAAAUGUUUGAAGGAUCUGAUCCUUAAUAUUUAAUGAGAAAGAUGCUAUUUCCUUCCUCAGCUUUUAUCUCUGGUUUGGCACAGUCAUUAAAUUUGUUGUUUCCUUGCAAGAUUAUAUAAUUUAUGACCUAAUUUUAGACUUUUGUGUAAUGGCGUUGAAACACUCGUGGCAUAUCCUGAUUUCUUCACACGGAGUGUUCCAGCCUCAGCCACCAGCUCCAGCACGACUUCUGUGAGCUGCCUGUCAGGCAGGAGUCGCAGGCAUGAAAGAAAAACAGCCCAACAAUAUUCAGGCAGCAUUAGAAGAUUAGUUUGUGGGGGGUUUGCCCUGCAAAAAAUAUGAUUUAGCAGCAUUUCCAAAGCCUUCUGCAGUGCUGGCAGGAAUCCCCAGGUAAGACAGGCAGCACCCAGCAACUUUAUUGCCGAAAAUAUUUUCAUGCUUCUGACUUUCAGACUCCUCUGGGACAGCAGUGCAGGAGGGAUGUCUAGAGGUGCUUUAAAGCCACUGCCAGCCCCUCACCCUCUGGAAUUUCCUCCCAGCACCAGCCUGGCUGCUGGGCUGAUUUUUUGCUGCACAAGGUGUUGCUGGAUAACUCCAAAAGGAAUUAUUCUAAAGCUGCAGCCACUUUAUUUUUUUGGUGUUUGCUGUGUGUCCAGAGUAAUUCAGAGAUGCUGCAAAUAGUGCCAUGAACUUCAGGUAUUCUGUCAAUUUUACCCAUAUUGUUGGGACCAGUCUUUCAUAAAAUUUAAUAUAUUAGCUGUUGCAUUAAUGCACUUUGAGAGGAUUUUAUCCUGGUGUUCCAUAGGGAAGUGGCUUGUGGUUGAGGAAGGAUUUGAUGUUUCCUUUGUGCCUGCAGUGCUAUUUGGAGGAGUUUUCCUCUUUUUCCACCUUAUCCUGAAUAUCCAACAGGGAUGGCAGAGCUGGGAUGCUGCAUCCUCAGAUCAGCACAGGAACACAAGGGACACCCCUCUACCACAACAACUUCAUGUACAGGGUGAGGGGGUGCCUACAUGAAAGAAAAAGCAUCCUCAUGAAAAGGGGACAUUCAUUCUUGGAUUAAAUAAAUUGGAGAGUUUUUCUCCUUGGUUUUAAUGGAACAGUUCCAGGAAAGAAGCAGAGAACAAAGUGUUUUCAGAAUCACAUAAUUCAAGAGUAAAAUCAUAAUUCCAAUUACCAUUGCAGGCACUUCUGGCCUUGGGAAACCUAUGCUAAUAUUUAUUAUUAUGUGAUUGACCUCUGAUUUCUUCAUCAUUUACAUUAGCAACCCUGAUAUUCUUAGUAACAUCCUUUAAAUCAUAGAAACAGGUGGCAACAGUGCACGAUGAAGUCACAUCCUGCAGAUUUUUUAUUUACUUAGUCCAUUUUUUCCUGGUUAAAUAACAUUGUGAGAUGCAGAAUCUCACCUCCACAAAGUCUCUAGGGGUGUGUAUAAUCGUGGAAUGCAUCUUCUAUAAUCUCACAAAAUCAGUCAAUCCUAUCAGAAGUACAAAGAGUUUUACAAAGUCAGUAUUUCACUGCCAUCACUGCCUGACAUUGUUUUCCACACAGUACAAGAAAAUAUUUACUUGACUCUUUGACAUGAAUUGCCACAAAGCCUUUGGAACGAAAAUGAAAUAGUGAGAAUUAAAAUGGAAUAACUUGACUU